UGUGGCUCAGUUGGUAGAGCAUGGUGUUUGCAACGCCAGGGUUGUGGGUUCGAUUCCAUUUA
rnacentral:tRNA from 1 species